rnacentral:rRNA from 1 species
AGCGAACGCUGGCGGCAGGCUUAACACAUGCAAGUCGAACGCCCCGCACGGGGAGUGGCAGACGGGUGAGUAACACGUGGGAACGUACCCUUUGGUUUGGAAUAACUUGGGGAAACUCAAGCUAAUACCGGAUAAGCCCUUAUGGGGAAAGGUUUACUGCCGAAGGAUCGGCACGCGUGUGAUUAGCAAGUGUGUGAGGUAAUGGCUCACCAAGGCGACGAUCAGUAGCUGGUCUGAGAGGAUGAUCAGCCACACUGGGACUGAGACACGGCCCAGACUCCUACGGGAGGCAGCAGUGGGGAAUAUUGGACAAUGGGGGCAACCCUGAUCCAGCCAUGCCGCGUGAGUGAUGAAGGCCUUAGGGUUGUAAAGCUCUUUUACCCGGGACGAUAAUGACUGUACCGGGAGAAUAAGCCCCGGCUAACUUCGUGCCAGCAGCCGCCGUAA